rfam:Gossypium arboreum cultivar AKA8401 contig_76395_1, whole genome shotgun sequence.
UGUUAAAAAUUUCAUUCAUUUGUAUUGUUAAAACUGACUUGGCUGACAAAAUAACCAGAUAGUGCCAUGUAGCAUUUCACAUGUGCCUCAUGCUGAGGUAAAGUAACCAGUUUUUAACAGUAGAAAUAGAUGGAAUUUUAACA